GACCAGACUCCUACGGGAGGCAGCAGUGGGGAAUAUUGCACAAUGGGGGAAACCCUGAUGCAGCAACGCCGCGUGAGUGAAGAAGUCAUUCGUGAUGUAAAGCUCUAUCAGCAGGGAAGAAGCAAGACGGUACCUGACUAAGAAGCCCCGGCUAACUACGUGCCAGCAGCCGCGGUAAUACGUAGGGGGCAAGCGUUAUCCGGAUUUACUGGGUGUAAAGGGAGCGUAGACGGUAUGGCAAGUCUGAAGUGAAAGCCCAGGGCUUAACCCUGGGACUGCUUUGGAAACUGUUAGACUAGAGUGCUGGGGAGGUAAGUGGAAUUCCUAGUGUAGCGGUGAAAUGCGUAGAUAUUAGGAGGAACACCAGUGGCGAAGGCGGCUUGCUGGACGAUGACUGACGCUGAGGCUCGAAAGCGUGGGGAGCAAACGGGAUUAGAUACCCGAGUAUG
rnacentral:rRNA from 1 species